GUGUCAGCCGCCGCGGUAAUACGGAGGGUGCAAGCGUUAAUCGGAAUUACUGGGCGUAAAGCGUGCGUAGGCGGUUCGUUAAGUCUGUUGUGAAAGCCCCGGGCUCAACCUGGGAAUGGCAAUGGAUACUGGCGAGCUAGAGUGUGUCAGAGGAUGGUGGAAUUCCCGGUGUAGCGGUGAAAUGCGUAGAGAUCGGGAGGAACAUCAGUGGCGAAGGCGGCCAUCUGGGACAACACUGACGCUGAGGCACGAAAGCGUGGGGAGCAAACAGGAUUAGAAACCCCUGUAGUCC
rnacentral:rRNA from 1 species